UAAUGAAGGAAGCAUGGUAAUGUGCACGGAUAUUGAACCAGUGGGUUAAGGUGUCUGCCCCCAUUGAUGCCACCCGGCUUUGAUUUGGGGGCCUGGUUAAGACCCACAUCU